rnacentral:rRNA from 1 species
UGAGUAAUGUAUCGGAACGUGCCCAGUAGUGGGGGAUAACUACGCGAAAGCGUAGCUAAUACCGCAUACGCCCUAAGGGGGAAAGCAGGGGAUUCUUCGGAACCUUGCACUAUUGGAGCGGCCGAUAUCGGAUUAGCUAGUUGGUGAGGUAAAGGCUCACCAAGGCGACGAUCCGUAGCUGGUUUGAGAGGACGACCAGCCACACUGGGACUGAGACACGGCCCAGACUCCUACGGGAGGCAGCAGUGGGGAAUUUUGGACAAUGGGGGCAACCCUGAUCCAGCCAUCCCGCGUGUGCGAUGAAGGCCUUCGGGUUGUAAGGCACUUUUGUCAGGGAAGAAAAGGUUCUGAUUAAUACUCAGAACCGCUGACGGUACCUGAAGAAUAAGCACCGGCUAACUACGUGCCAGCAGCCGCGGUAAUACGUAGGGUGCAAGCGUUAAUCGGAAUUACUGGGCGUAAAGCGUGCGCAGGCGGUUCGGAAAGAAAGAUGUGAAAUCCCAGGG